ensembl:lncRNA
AGGCUAUGGACCUGGUAGUGCUGGAACAGGGCCAGGAGGCUACGGACCUGGUGGUGCUGGGACAGGACCUGGAGGCUAUGGCCCUGGUGGUGCUGGGACUGGGCCUGGAGGUGCUGGGACAGGACCUGGAGGCUAUGGCCCUGGUGGUGCCGGGACAGGACCUGGAGGAUUUGGACCUGGUGGUGCCGGGACAGGACCUGGAGGCUAUGGCCCUGGUGGUGCCGGGACAGGACCUGGAGGAUUUGGACCUGGUGGUGCUGGGACUGGUCCUGGAGGAUUUGGACCUGGUGGUGCGGGGACUGGACCUGGUGGACAAGGAUUAGGACUGAGAAAACCAUCUAAAUCUGGCUAUGGGACGUCUCUGGGCGGAGCUGACUAUGGCCCAGGGCGGGGGACAGGAAUAAGACCUGGUGGUGCUGGGACAGGACCAGGAGGCUAUGGACCUGGUGGUGCUGGGACUGGUCCUGGAGGUGCUGGGACAGUGCCUGGAGGAUUUGGACCUGCUGGUGCUGGGACAGGACCUGGAGGAUUUGGACCUGCUGGUGCUGGGACAGGACCUGGAGGAUUUGGACCUGCUGGUGCUGGGACAGGACCUGGAGGAUAUGGACCUGGUGGUGCUGGAACAGGACCUGGAGGCUACGGACCUGGUAGUGCUGGGACUGGACCUGGGGGAUUUGGACCUGGUGGUGUUGGCACCGGACCUGGUGGACAAGGAUUAGGACUGAGAAAACCAGCGAAAUCUGGCUAUGGGUCAUCUCUGGGUGGUGCUGGCUAUGGCCCAGGGAGUGGGACAGGCACUGGAACAAGACCUGGUGGUACUGGGACAGGACCUGGAGGAUUUGGACCUGGUGGUACUGGGACAGGACCUGGAGGAUUUGGACCUGGUGGUGCCGGGACAGGGCCUGGAGGAAUUGGACCUGGUGGUGCUGGGACAGGGCCUGGGGGAUUUGGACCUGGAGGUGCUGGGACUGGACCUGGAGGAUUCGGGCCUGGUGGUGCUGGGACAGGACCUGGAGGGUUCGGACCUGGUGGUGCUGGGACUGGACCUGGAGGCUUUGGACCUGGUGGUGCUGGGACUGGACCUGGAGGCUUUGGACCUGGUGGACAAGGACUCGGACUGAGAAAACCUCCAAAAUCUGGUUAUGGAGGAGCUGGAUUUGACACUGG